ACGAUUGCAGUCAUGAAGGGGGCACACGAAGCCAGCGACGAUGCUUCCGAUUCCUUGCUCGUCGCAGGCCACGAAGAGGGCCGAGGAACCUCUGUCGACAGAAGAAGAAGAUGGGAAUAAGCAGUAGGGAUACGCUCCCUUCUCGUCCGGCUCCGAGGUGCAAGCGUCUCCGAGGCCGAUAGCAAGGAGCGAGAGGGAGGGUAGAAGAGGUUUCGUUGGUCUCGUUGGGUGCAGCGAUGGAGUGGAAUGCGAGGCAAAAAAAGGGGUCCGGUAGAGGCAUGUCAAGCAGCGCCUCCAGCUUCUGGUGAGGUCUCCGGCAGCAGUCCUCGACGUGCGACGGAUGUUUUGCUCCGAAUGAAUGGGUGUUUGGGUUGGUGCUGCUGCCUCGAUGGUUUACCAGAGCACCACCCGUGCUUGGCUGAUCGAAGGAGGUAGAAAGCAGUGAUUUGGGGGUGUUUGGUUUGUUUCAUUUGAAAGGGAAAAGAACGAGGGAGGGAUGUUGCGAGGAUUAAACUCCAUGACAUAACUCAAACGUAUGGCUGGAUGAUUAUUUGAAGAAGAGAAAGGAUGUGAGGGGGCUGUUCACGACAGCUUCAAUUGAGAAGAACACUCUUCCUUUGUGUAUGGUUUUGUAUAAAAAUAUUUUUUUGUAUGGUUUUUUUGGUAUAAAAAGAUGUUUACUUUGUGUGUAAACUUUUGUGUGUUAGCAUUAAUAGCCGUCAAUUUGUGUAUGUAUGAAUCCUUGAAGGAUUUUUGGAGAGUACAAACUCUGUUACUUUAUGUGUGUAUUCUGUGGGUUGUUUGUGUGUAUUUUUCCAUAUAUUGUUCAUUCAUAUGGUGAAUGUAAUUACACAUGUAUA